rnacentral:tRNA from 1 species
GAGGCGUAUAAACACCCAGACCUGCUAACUCUGGCAACCGAAGAUAAAAUCCUCGGGCCUCUUA